rnacentral:rRNA from 1 species
CGGAGGGUGCGAGCGUUGUCCGGAAUCAUUGGGCGUAAAGGGCGCGUAGGUGGCCCGGUCAGUCUUUGGUGAAAGCGCGGGGCUCAACCCUGCGUCGGCCAGGGAUACUGCCGCGGCUCGAGCACUGUAGAGGCAGGCGGAAUUCCGGGUGUAGCGGUGGAAUGCGUAGAGAUCCGGAAGAACACCGGUGGCGAAGGCGGCCUGCUGGGCAGUUUAGCUGACACUGAGGCGCGACAGCGUGGGGAGCAAACAGGAUUAGAUACCCUGGUAGUCCACGCCGUAAACGAUGGGCACUAGGCGCUUGGGGGAGCGACCCCCCGAGGGCCGGCGCUAACGCAUUAAGUGCCCCGCCUGGGGAGUACGGCCGCAAGGCUG